rnacentral:tRNA from 1 species
GGGUGGUUAGCUCAGUGGGUAGAGCAGCUGCCUUACAAGCAGCGGGUCAGCGGUUCGAGCCCGUUACCACCCACCA